AGCGAACGCUGGCGGCAGGCCUAACACAUGCAAGUCGAACGAACCUUUCGGGGUUAGUGGCGGACGGGUGAGUAACACGUGGGAACGUGCCUUUAGGGUCGGAAUAACUCAGGGAAACUUGUGCUAAUACCGAAUGUGCCCUUCGGGGGAAAGAUUUAUCGCCUUUAGAGCGGCCCGCGUCUGAUUAGCUAGUUGGUUGAGGUAAUGGCUCACCAAGGCGACGAUCAGUAGCUGGUCUGGGAGGCUGAUACGCCACUUUGGCACUGUGACACGGCCCAAACUCCUACGGGAGGGAGGAGUGGGGAAUCGUGCGAAAUGGGCGAAAGCCUGACGGAGCCAUGCCGCGUGAAUGAUGAAGGUCUUAGGAUUGUAAAAUUCUUUCACCUGGGACGAUAAUGACGGUACCCGGAGAAGAAGCCCCGGCUAACUUCGUG
rnacentral:rRNA from 1 species